GAUCAGCUCGGCUGGAUAGCGCAUCCCGAUUUCCAAUCGGGACGGUCAGGGGUUCGAAUCCCUUCGCGAUCA
rnacentral:tRNA from 1 species